rnacentral:rRNA from 1 species
AGCUUCGGCCAUCCGGCGAGGGAUGGGCCCGCGGUGCAUUAGCUAGUUGGUGGGGUAACGGCUCACCAAGGCAACGAUGCAUAGCUGGUCUGAGAGGAUGAUCAGCCACACUGGGACUGAGACACGGCCCAGACUCCUACGGGAGGCAGCAGCCAGGAAUCUUGGGCAAUGGGCGAAAGCCUGACCCAGCAACACCGUGUGAGCGAUGAAGGCCUUCGGGUCGUAAAGCUCUGUUGAUAGGGACGAAGGGCGAAGGGUUAAUAGCCC